GACGAACGCUGGCGGCGUGCUUAACACAUGCAAGUCGAGCGGUAAGGCCCUUUCGGGGGUACACGAGCGGCGAACGGGUGAGUAACACGUGGGUGACCUGCCCUUAGCUCUGGGAUAAGCCUGGGAAACUGGGUCUAAUACCGGAUAUGACUCCAUGACGCAUGUUGUGGGGUGGAAAGCCUUGUGCGGCUAGGGAUGGGCCCGCGGCCUAUCAGCUUGUUGGUGGGGUGAUGGCCUACCAAGGCGACGACGGGUAGCCGGCCUGAGAGGGCGACCGGCCACACUGGGACUGAGACACGGCCCAGACUCCUACGGGAGGCAGCAGUGGGGAAUCUUGCGCAAUGGGCGAAAGCCUGACGCAGCAACGCCGCGUGAGUGAUGAAGGCCU
rnacentral:rRNA from 1 species